GACGUAGGGCGCGAGCGUUGUCCGGAUUUAUUGGGCGUAAAGAGCUCGUAGGCGGCUUGUCGCGUCGAAUGUGAAAACUCGGGGCUCAACCCCGCGCUUGCAUUCGAUACGGGCAGGCUCGAGUUCGGUAGGGGAGACUGGAAUUCCUGGUGUAGCGGUGAAAUGCGCAGAUAUCAGGAGGAACACCGGUGGCGAAGGCGGGUCUCUGGGCCGAUGACUGACGCUGAGGAGCGAAAGCGUGGGGAGCGAACAGG
rnacentral:rRNA from 1 species